UUGAAGCGAGGAGUUGGACCGAGGAGAGAGACCGGGGAGGGACCCCCGAGGAGCAGCGAGCAGCCCGGGGAUGGGACCGGCCAGCAGGAUACUGAGCCUGGAGCGCUUUCACGUUUGUCUUUUCUUUUUUCAAAGGAUCUCCAGGUGCCUACAGUAGAUCCUCAUGUCUCUUAACCAACUUCAGUUCCUGGCAUCGGGAUCCACUUCCAGGAAUCUACAGGGGUGAUUGUAAGGUAAGGCGGGGUUCUAUUACAUUGCCUUUUAUUGUGUCAAUUUGACCUCUUAGUUCUUCUGGCCUUGAAAUGUACUUAGAUUCGUUUUUUCUUGUUUUCCUUUACACCCUUGUUUUAAGACCGUGUUAAUCAACCUGUUGCAAGUUGAGGGGAUCUGUGUUCUGUGAUCUGGGAAUUCUAUUGACGGGGUUAUGUAAUGCUAAAGGCCGCGUUCAGGGCCCUCAAACGUACUUACUUUAAACAUUUCAUCAUGAAAAUUUAAAAUAUUAUCUCAGCUCAGGUUCCACAACUCAGGUCAUUUAAGACAGAAGUGUGUUGGGCCUGACUAUAGUUCUGUACAGACCUGCUGCUGAGCUGCAGCUCCAGCAUCGUCCACAUGUAUCAGAUCGGUGUCAAUCAAACGCAUGUUGGAUUUUGUCGUCGCUGCUCAUCUUGAGGUACAAAAUCCAUAUGGAUGCGUUUAAUUUGUGCACUCCGUCGGUUCUGUUGGCUGCAGGCCCCCAGACGAUACUUUCAUUAAAGGCUGCUUGUUUUCCAAGGGCCCCGCUCCAUUCUGAUCCUAUUUGAUUAAAUUGUCAAAGUAAGAGAAAGAAACUUUUUUUACCUUCUAUGAUUUCACAAAUUGUCUCGAAUUAAAGCUGGAGAUGCUCUGGAGAUGAGAGUGGCACGCGGCUCACGCUGGCUUCCACCACUGCCCCCCCUUCGCUCAGGAGUGUCCUGCCUGCUGCCUGUGCUGUAAUUACCCACUGAUAGGUUAUUACACAUAGAGCUCAGGCCACUGGGAAAAUCUGGAUUAUCAAAUUUUCAUCUUUCAAUUUUUUUUUAAAUAAUGAACUUGAGUAGUAUUGGAACGUCACAGUUCCAGCAUACGUCCCACCCACGCUUUAUUGUCGGAGCAAGUUACACAUAUACGAGUGUGAAAACGUAUUCACGAGAUGCAGCUGAGUUCACGUUACUAGUAAAACAGCAAUGUCAGAUUGUUGCUAUAGGUAGAUUUACUGCUUGGAUUCUGGAACAGGUUAAAAACAAACUAUAAUAUUUAAGGUUUUCAGAACAUUUUUUUACAGUUUUUUUUAGUCAUUCUCAUAUUUCAAGGUUGACUGUAGAACAGACCUGAAGAAUGUAAAAUCUUUUGAUCCUCAGAUGAAGGACGGUUCAGAUGACACCGUUGUUAUUGUCUUACUCUUGUCUUUGUGCGCUACUCAGAUUGUUGAGCCCGUUUGUGUGCGUUUGUUAACCCCAUGUGAGCGUUGUCGCUGUGCGACUAGGUGUGAUUAAUGCGGUGGUCCAGCAGUGACGUCCGGCGUGCCCCCCCCCCACACACACACACACACCCACACACACACACACACACUGAAAGGGCACCACACUCCUUUGGACAUGUGAGCUUAUCAUCAAGAGGCCAAUGCUAAGUCAUACUUUAGUUGGAGCUGAUAUCAGAGAAUCUUCCUGCAUUAGGAUUUUGCGUAAGUGUCCUUUAAUGCUUCUGCAAACUGAGGAACAGUUCGGACCUGACGAACAGGCCCUUUACAGUAACUCUCCAAAUACCUACACGUGGAGCUCGAACCACUUUGUGUUGCUCAUGUUGAGCAGAAAGAAAAAAUAAAAUGUCAUUUGAUGAGUCACUCGUGCUCUGCUAACUUGCGUAUGAAUGACCAGCCCAUCAAGCGGCCUGGUGUAACUGGGGAACAGGCUGAGCACUGACGGUUAUUGAUGGCCGGUGGACGAGGGGAGGAUCUGCGGUGGAAAUGCGGUAGCUGCAGUGAGGUUGCACGUCCUCAGGCCACACCCAGACAGCUCCGAGGCCCAACUCCAGCUAGCUGGGCCCAGUAUUUCCCAUGCUUUGGGAUCCGCUCGCGCACGCUAAUUUCCAUUUGCGUCCGUUAUGGGUUGACGGGCGGUGAUGUCGUACACGGACGGAGGUAGUGACUGUGUGCUCAUGAGCAGCGGAGCGCCUUGGCAGGUGUCGUGUACCCGCGCCUGCGUGUGCAUGGGGAGGGGGGGGCGUGGGCGUACGCCAGCCUGGCGCGGUCUGAGCAGUUGGCGAUGCGGCGCUAACGCUCGUCCGACUGGCUGCGCUGUCACUGACUCAUGAGGGAGGUCGUCACCAGCCCUCAGCGGGGCUGUUUAUGGCACCAGACGGGCCCCGCGCUCAUAUGGGCGACACAUGUUGCAGCGCGCGCCCGUCCGCUGGAAAAGUUCUCUCCAUCGCCCCCGACGACGGGCCGAGGGCCUCGUUCACCCGCGGCCACAGUAGCUGAACUGGGCUGGUUCGAAAAAGGGAUUGAUGACCUGUUUGGCCACAAGUGUUGGUCUGUGUGUGUGUGUGUGUGUGUGUGUGUGUGUGUGUGUGUGUGUGUGUGUGUGUGUGUGUGUGUGUGUGUGUGUGUGUGUGUGUGUGUGUGUGUGUGUGUGUGUGUGUGCAGAGCGUUCGUCUAAAUAAAUUAUCCCAGGUUUAGUUUUUCACACAUUUCUGUAGGUGACCUAGUUUGAGAACAGGGACUAUUGUGCUUGUAGGAUUUGCACGCACGCCCAUACGUGGCUGGAGCAGGAGCCAGGGCAAGAGCCAGGGCCUCAGGGGAAGACAUGCAGAGGAAGAAUAAAGCUCUGACAGUAAAAAAAAAAAAAAA